rnacentral:rRNA from 1 species
UGUUCGGAUUUACUGGGCGUAAAGGGCGCGUAGGCGGCCACUGCAAGUCAGUUGUGAAAUCUCCGGGCUUAACCCGGAAAGGUCAACUGAUACUGCAGGGCUAGAGUGCAGAAGGGGCAACUGGAAUUCUCGGUGUAGCGGUGAAAUGCGUAGAUAUCGAGAGGAACACCUGCGGCGAAGGCGGGUUGCUGGGCUGACACUGACGCUGAGGCGCGAAAGCCAGGGGAGCGAACGGG